ensembl:lncRNA OIP5-AS1 OIP5 antisense RNA 1
GUGGGAACGGCCCACCGCAGGGUUGGCCACCUUGAGAAGCUGCGAAGAUGGCGGAGUAAGGCGUGCCGCUGCAAACUGGCCUCUGGGCCGGGGGCGAGCAGCCCCCGGGAGGCCGAGUGCAUCUGUUGGACCGUGCGAGAGGGGAGUGGUCAUCUACACUAAAGCAAAGUGUUAGGCGCGUCCGUGCGAAGAGACCACCAAACAGGCUUUGUGUUCCUUAUCACAGGAAGAAAAUUUUCCUUGACCUUUAGGUGCUUUUAUAUUCAUCUCAAAAACAAAAUUCUGAACUCAGGACUUGGCAAGUGUCUCUAUGUUGUCUCCUAGAGUGGGUAGUCCUGCUUCUUUUACCCAGUUACUUUCCCGUUUUUGAAAUGUGGCUAUCACUUCUCUACACAUUACCUCCAUGAUUUGGAAUGGAAAAGGCCACUUUUCUUUUUGUUCUGCCUCUCAAAUUCAACACAGAGGAGCUCCUAGGAUUCCAGUUAUCCUGCUAACAUCUCCAGGAAGAAAGAAGCAACUCACAUGGGUCUUUUGCUGUUUGCUUAAUUAUAAAGACAUCAUUUUGCAAGCAGAAGGCUGAGUUUCAUUUGAAACAGGUGCUUAGGUGGUGGUAUUUGUGAAUACUUUUCAUUCCAAGCAAGAAGACUAAAGAAGUAGCAAGUAUGAAUGACUUCAGGGUUUAAAAAAAAUGUCUUCCAGUUUCAGCCACUACCAUGAUAAGCACAGUUGAGACUGCAGCAGUAAAUUCCAAAUAUGUGUUUCUAAUUUGACGUGAAAGAUACUAAAAAUUUAUAUUUGUAUAUUUAAAUCCUGGCUCAUCCUGUGACAUAGAUUUACUGAAUAGGAACAAAGGCCCAAUUUUAAACAAAAACCUAGGCCGGGUGUGGUGGCUCACACCUGUAAUCCCAACACUUUGGGAGGCCAAGGCAGGCAAAUCACCUGAGGUUGGGAGUUUGAGACCAGCCUGACCAACAUGGAGAAACCCCAUCUCUACUAAAAAUAGAAAAUUAGCCAGGUGUGGUGGUAGAUACGUGUAAUCCCAGCUACUCGUGAGGCUGAGGCAGGAGAAUUGCUUGAAUCCGGGAGGCGGAGGUUGCAGUGAACUGAGAUUGCACCACUGCACUCCAGCCUGGGCGACAGAGUGAGACUCCGUCUCAGAAAAAUAAAAAACAACUUUGGACAUAGAGGAGUUGGGGGCAGAGGGGGGAGGAUGAGAGAAUUUUCCAUGUAACUCCUUUUCCUUAAGAAAAAGAAGCAAAAAUCCCUCAUGCAGUGCCAUCUGACUUUAUGGUGUUUCACAUUAUAUAGUUACUUUUUUUAAUAAACGCAUAAGAUUAACUCUUCCUGCAACCCAAGGUGGAUACUUGGAUGUUUGAUUUUUAUUUAUUUAUUUAUUUAUUUUUUGAGGCAGUCUCUCUCUGUUGCCCAGGCUGGAGUGAUGCGUGAUUUCUGCUCACUGCAGUCUCUCCCACCCGGGUUCAAGCGAUUCUCCUGCCUCAGCCUCCCAAGUAGCUAGGAUUACAGGCGCGCACCACCACGCUCAGCCUGAUUUCUAGGCUGAAAAGGCUGGGACUCAGGUACUUUCCCCAGUUGGGACUGAACUUUCUCAUCAGAGAAUGGGCCUCAGAAGCAAUGUUCCCAAACUUGUGGUUGGGUCAUCGUGGAAAAGAAACCUCAAAUAAGAAAAAUAAUUACAAUAAGAAAUGGAUUUUCUUUUUUCCCACAACAGUUAUACAUUAUAAAGAACAGACUGUCGUAGAAAACUGUCUUUGCUUCCAAAUCAGCAGAGGACCAUUGUAUGUAUUGUCAGGUCUUUAUAUAAGAGUGAAACCUUUAUUUAUGCUUCUUGUGAGUAGAGAAUAAAUUUUAAAACUAAUUAGAUGAAAUUAA